GACGAACGCUGGCGGCGUGCUUAACACAUGCAAGUCGAACGGAAAGGCCCUGCUUUUGUGGGGUGCUCGAGUGGCGAACGGGUGAGUAACACGUGAGUAACCUGCCCUUGACUUUGGGAUAACUUCAGGAAACUGGGGCUAAUACCGGAUAGGAGCUCCUGCUGCAUGGUGGGGGUUGGAAAGUUUCGGCGGUUGGGGAUGGACUCGCGGCUUAUCAGCUUGUUGGUGGGGUAGUGGCUUACCAAGGCUUUGACGGGUAGCCGGCCUGAGAGGGUGACCGGCCACAUUGGGACUGAGAUACGCACCAGACGCCUACGGGAGGCGACAGUGGGGAAUAUUGCACAAUGGGCGGAAGCCUGAUGCAGCAACGCCGCGUGCGGGAUGACGGCCUUCGGGUUGUAAACCGCUUUCGCCUGUGACGAAGCGUGAGUGACGGUAAUGGGUAAAGAAGCACCGGCUAACUACGUG
rnacentral:rRNA from 1 species